rnacentral:lncRNA from 1 species
GCAACUUGAAGGUAGGCAUGUUGUGCACAUCUUGUUGUGUCUGACACCCAACCGGCUCAGAGUCUUAGACCUGGCUGACAUCUUCUGUCGUGCCCUCAUCUGACCCUAUGGAGGAGACAGUCUUCCACUGAAGGUUGGCGAGCGGCACGUAGGGCUCAUCGGUCGGGCGCAUCUUGGGUUGUCGCUGAUCGACCCCUCUAGGCAUUGGCACCGACGAAAAGUAUAUAAAUACAUCACCCUGGUCAAAUUGAAUAAUUCAUUUAGAAAACAUCACAAAAAAAUAGGAAGUACACCAAAUUCAUGACAUUGACAAUCUUACCGGGUUGGAUGACAGCCACUUCAACGAGUAUACUUUUGGGGCAGUUCUUGUUCCUGAACACCCCCCCGAAGAACUCAGAAACCCAGUUGAUA